UACGUAGGGUGCGAGCGUUAAUCGGAAUUACUGGGCGUAAAGCGUGCGUAGGCGGUUUCAUAAGCUUGAUGUGAAAUCUCCGGGCUUAACUCGGAAAGGUCAACUGAUACUGUGCGACUAGAGUGCAGAAGGGGCAACUGGAAUUCUCGGUGUAGCGGUGAAAUGCGUAGAUAUCGAGAGGAACACCUGCGGCGAAGGCGGGUUGCUGGGCUGACACUGACGCUGAUGCGCGAAAGCCAGGGGAGCGAACGGG
rnacentral:rRNA from 1 species